ACAAAUCAUGCGCUGGUCCUUGGGCCGCGUACAUUCACCCAAAGCCUCAUGCGCAUGCGUGGGGCUCUUGUGGUUCGGGUUGCGUGCUGUGUGUGCUUGCAUACACAACGCACGCAUACCCAAAACAUAGACGCUUGCAUGUUUGACUGUAUCGUUGGCAACAAAAUAGA
rnacentral:misc_RNA from 1 species